rnacentral:rRNA from 1 species
AACGCGAAGAACCUUACCUGGGCUCGAACGGCUUUGGAUCGACGGUGGAAACACUGUUUUCCCGCAAGGGACCGGAGUCGAGGUGCUGCAUGGCUGUCGUCAGCUCGUGUCGUGAGAUGUUGGGUUAAGUCCCGCAACGAGCGCAACCCUUGUCCUGUGUUGCCACUCCGCAAGGAAGCACUCUCAGGAGACCGCCAGCGAUAAGUUGGAGGAAGGUGGGGAUGAUGUCAAGUCAUCAUGGCCUUUAUGUCCAGGGCUACACACGUGCUACAAUGGUCGGUACAAAGCGCUGCAAACCCGCGAGGGGGAGCUAAUCGCAAAAAACCGUCCUCAGUUCGGAUUGCAGGCUGCAACUCGCCUGCAUGAAGCUGGAAUCGCUAGUAAUGCCGUAUCAGAAUGAUGGCGUGAAUACGUUCCCGGGCCUUGUACACACCGAGACGUA